AUUGAACGCUGGCGGCACGCCUAACACAUGCAAGUCGAACGGCAGCACGGAGAGUAGCAAUACUUUUGGGUGGCGAGUGGCGGACGGGUGAGUAACGCGUAGGAAUCCACCCUAGAGAUGAGGAUAACUUGGGGAAACUCAAGCUAAUACUGAAUACGCCCUUAGGGGUAAAGGUUGCGCAAGCAGCCGCUUUAGGAUGAGCCUGCGUUAGAUUAGCUAGUUGGUGGGGUAAAGGCCUACCAAGGCGACGAUCUAUAGCUGUUCUGAGAGGAAGAUCAGCCACACUGGGACUGAGACACGGCCCAGACUCCUACGGGAGGCAGCAGUGGGGAAUCUUGGACAAUGGGGGCAACCCUGAUCCAGCGAUGCCGCGUGUGUGAAGAAGGCCUUAGGGUUGUAAAGCACUUUAAUGAGGGAGGAGUAGGGUUCGUUGAAUAGGCGGAUCUGAGGACGUUACCUCAAGAAUAAGCACCGGCUAACUCUGUGCCAGC
rnacentral:rRNA from 1 species